GGAAAAAGGGAAAAUUGACAGAGGUUGCUUGUGCAAAUAUAGCUAAUCUGGGCUUCCUUUACAAGCAAAACAAUGUGUGUUAAGGCAAGAGAAUUGAAUUGAACCAAACCCAAAACAGUACAAAACAACACACAAUUCUCUCUCAUUUCUCACAAUUAUCUUGGCUUCAUUAUGUUUUACACACCCCAACCCUUUUUUUUUUUUUUUUUUUUUUUAAUUAUUACCACUAUUUUUCUUAGAUAGGACAAGGAAACCCAUCUCAGAUGAAAGCAGAAACAAGAAGAAAAGGUUGCUGCAGGUGGAAGAUAAUGAGAGCUGGGAAAUUGAAGAGCAUUGUUAGGUCUUUGUGAUGAUAUUGCUGCUAAAGCAAAUGGAUCUUAUUCGAUCCUUGCAGAAAAAAGCUUUCUUCUUCUUUCUCUUUUGCUUCCUUGGCUUCUGGUAAUGAUUAUUUUGGCUGGUUGUUGGCGGUGGUGGUGGUGGUGGUGAUAUUGGCUGGACGGCUCAAUCUCUGUAUUGUUAUGAGAAGAACUGAAAAGUUUUCAUUUUUUUUCUUUCUGGGUUUCACUUUGUAACGAAGUCUUAUAAUGCUGAUAUGCAACAACAGGUUUUACUUGAUUUCUUGAUCUUGGUUUUGUGAAUUUUCCUGCAUUUUCUAGGAAACCAAACAAUCCCCACCCAUUACAUCAGAAGAAGCAAGGAUCCAACUAUCUCUUAAAGGAAGGUAAAGGUUGGUGGGUAAGGGUAAUGGUUUUAAUUUUUUGGGGUCCCCUAAAAAGAUGCAGAGUUCCAUGUUUGAAAAACACUGUUUUAUUAUCGAUUCAAUUCAAAAUCACUGUCAGUAGUCCUUUGCUUCUGUCCCUAUUAUUAAUUUAUUAUUAUUAUUAUUUUCUUGGGAAAGUAGAGGAGAGAUUUGAUGUUAUAAGUUCAAAUCCACCCCCUGUUACUGUUGUGUCAUCUUCAUUAUCAACUUGUACAUUUACUUCAAGAAAUUUAUAUUUUCUUUUCUUGGAA